rnacentral:sRNA from 1 species
UACAAGGCGGCGCACAACGUUUUUAUUACGCCGAAAGAUAAAUAAGUAGCUUUAUAGUGGGGCGCAUGCUAUACUUAUAAAAGUAGUUUGACUCGGGUACGAAGUGGUAAAUUGUUUCAUUGAAGGAAUCUUCCAGUUUGCUCAGGUAGAAUUACCAAGUUUGAUACAUUUGUUUUAAUAGGAGGAUUCAUCCAUGGAAAAAGGAACUAUUAAGUGGUUUAAUGACGAAAAGGGUUACGGGUUUAUUUCCCGCGAAGCUGGUGACGACGUGUUCGUUCACUUCUCCGCCAUCCAAGGCGACGGCUUCAAGACUUUAGAAGAAGGUCAAUCGGUAACGUUCGACGUUGAAACCGGCGACCGUGGGCUCCAAGCAGCCAACGUUUCUAAGGCGUAAUCAUUUUUAAAAAGCGGGUGGUGACUUAUGUCGCCGCCCGUUUU